rnacentral:rRNA from 1 species
GACGAACGCUGGCGGCAUGCCUAACACAUGCAAGUCGAGCGAGCAGAUCCCUUCGGGGUGAAGCUAGCGGCGGACGGGUGAGUAACACGUGGGCAACCUGCCUCAUAGAGGGGAAUAGCCUUCCGAAAGGAAGAUUAAUACCGCAUAAGAUUGUAGCUUCGCAUGAAGUAGCAAUUAAAGGAGCAAUCCACUAUGAGAUGGGCCCGCGGGGCAUUAGCUAGUUGGUGAGGUAACGGCUCACCAAGGCGACGAUGCGUAGCCGACCUGAGAGGGUGAUCGGCCACAUUGGGACUGAGACACGGCCCAGACUCCUACGGGAGGCAGCAGUGGGGAAUAUUGCACAAUGGGGGAAACCCUGAUGCAGCAAUGCCGCGUGAGUGAUGACGGCCUUCGGGUUGUAAAGCUCUGUCUUCGGGGACGAUAAUGACGGUACCCGAGGAGGAAGCCACGGCUAACUACGUGCCAGCAGCCGCAGUAA